AACGAACGCUGGCGGCAUGCCUAACACAUGCAAGUCGAACGAAGCCUUCGGGCUUAGUGGCGCACGGGUGCGUAACGCGUGGGAACCUACCAUCAGGUUCGGAAUAACAGUUAGAAAUGACUGCUAAUACCGGAUAAUGUCUUCGGACCAAAGAUUUAUCGCCUUUUGAUGGGCCCGCGUAAGAUUAGGUAGUUGGUGGGGUAAAGGCCUACCAAGCCGACGAUCUUUAGCUGGUCUGAGAGGAUGAUCAGCCACACUGGGACUGAGACACGGCCCAGACUCCUACGGGAGGCAGCAGUGGGGAAUAUUGGACAAUGGGCGAAAGACCUGAUCCAGCAAUGCCGCGUGAGUGAUGAAGGCCUUAGGGUUGUAAAGACUCUUUUACUUGGGGAGUGAUAAUGACAGUACCCACGAGAAUAAGACUCCGGCGUAACUACCGUCGCCAGCAGCCGCGGUAA
rnacentral:rRNA from 1 species